AACGUAGGAGACAAACGUUAUCCGGAGUUACUGGGCGUAAAGGGCGUGUAGGUGGUUUCGUAAGUCUGGCGUGAAAUUUUUCGGCUUAACCGGGAAAGGUCGUCGGAUACUGCGGAACUAGAGGACGGUAGAGGCGUGUGGAAUUCCGGGUGUAGUGGUGAAAUGCGUAGAGAUCCGGAGGAACACCAGUGGCGAAGGCGGGUCUCUGGACAGUUCCUGACACUGAGACACGAAGGCCAGGGGAGCAAACGGG
rnacentral:rRNA from 1 species